UUGCACGGUGCACCCCGGGCUUCUCGGAAUCUUUCCUGAAGAAAGCCCCAAUGCUUGUGCUAGAUCGCCGCCGUCUACUGUUGCAGUUUUGCCCUGUAUAUGUCAAAUUGACGGCCACAUAU